GACGACGCUGGCGGCGUGCCUCAAACAUGCAAGUCGAGCGGACGGAGACCGAACCGCAAGGGGAGGUUGAAGUUAGCGGCGAACGGGUGAGUAACACGUGGGUAACCUACCCUAAAGUCUGGGACAACGGCCCGAAAGGGCCGCUAAUACCGGAUAAUGUCUUCGGGUCGCAUGGCCUGGGGAAGAAAGCCGAAAGGCGCUUAUGGAUGGGCUCGCGUCCCAUCAGCUAGUUGGUAAGGUAACGGCUUACCAAGGCGACGACGGGUAGCCGGUCUGAGAGGAUGGUCGGCCACACUGGGACUGAGAUACGGCCCAGACUCCUACGGGAGGCAGCAGUUGGGAAUAUUGGGCAAUGGGCGAAAGCCUGACCCAGCGACGCCGCGUGAGGGAAGAAGGCCUUCGGGUCGUAAACCUCUGUCAUCGGGGACGAAGAAAGUGACGGUACCCGAGGAGGAAGCCCCUGCUAACUACGUG
rnacentral:rRNA from 1 species